AGAGUUUGAUUAUGGCUCAGGAUGAACGCUAGCUACAGGCUUAACACAUGCAAGUCGAGGGCAGCAUAACUAGCUUGCUAAGUUGAUGGCGACCGGCGCACGGGUGAGUAACGCGUAUCCAACCUUCCCCUUAGUAGGGGAUAGCCCGGUGAAAAUCGGAUUAAUACCCUAUGUUCUUCGAAGAGGGCAUCUGAAUUGAAGCAAAGGUUUACCGCUAAGGGAUGGGGAUGCGUCUGAUUAGGUUGCAGGCGGGGUAACGGCCCACCUGGCCAACGAUCAGUAGGGGUUCUGAGAGGAAGGUCCCCCACAUUGGAACUGAGACACGGUCCAAACUCCUACGGGAGGCAGCAGUGAGGAAUAUUGGUCAAUGGGCGAGAGCCUGAACCAGCCAAGUAGCGUGCAGGACGACGGCCCUAUGGGUUGUAAACUGCUUUUAUGCGGGGAUAAAUUCGCCUACGUGUAGGUGUUUGCAGGUACCGUAUGAAUAAGGACCGGCUAAUUCCGUGCCAGCAGCCGC
rnacentral:rRNA from 1 species